GCCAUCAUUAUUGGGGUCUAANAACAUCCGUAGCUUGCUUGAUAAGUUUUCUGUGAAAUCCUAUGUCUCAAAUAUGGGAAUUGUGGAAAAUACUGUCAAGCUAGAGACCGGGAGAUGUAAAGAGUACGUCUAAAGUAGCGGUAAAAUGUGUUGAUCUUAGGCGGACUGACAAUAGCGAAGGCACUGUUACAAGAACGGUUCUGACAGUAAGGGAUGAAGGCUAGGGGCGCAAAACGGAUUAGAUACCCGUGUAGUCCCUAGCCAGUAAACACUGCACACUAAACCUUGUGAUCUCUUCGAGAGAUUGCAGGUGCUGCAGGGAAGCGCGGAAGAGUGUGCUACCUGGGAAGUAUAGUCGCAAGGCUGAAACUUAAAGGAAUUGGCGGGGAGACACUACAACGGGUGACGCGUGCGGUUCAAUUAGAUUAUACACCGUGAACCUCACCAGGAGCGACAGCAGAAUGAAGGUCAGUCUAAAGGGCUUACCUGACACGCUGAGAGGGGUUGCAUGGCCGACGUCAGCCUGUGCUGUGAGGCGAUCUGUUAAAUCAGAUAACAGGCAAGACCC
rnacentral:rRNA from 1 species